GAUUAACGCUGGCGGCGUGCAUAACACAUGCAAGUCGAACGAUGAAACUUAGUAGACUUCUUCGGAAAGACACUAAGCGGAUUAGUGGCGAACGGGUGAGUAACGCGUGAGUAACCUGCCUUACACAAGGGGAUAGCCUUUAGAAACGAAGAAUAAUACCCUAUAAAACCAUAAAAGCACAUGCUAGAAUGGUCAAAGUGAUAGCGGUGUAAGAUGGACUUGCGUCUGAUUAGCUAGUUGGUGAGAUAAAAGCUCACCAAGGCAACGAUCAGUAGCCGGCUUGAGAGAGUGUACGGCCACAUUGGGACUGAGACACGGCCCAGACUCCUACGGGAGGCAGCAGUGGGGAAUUUUGCACAAUGGGGGAAACCCUGAUGCAGCGACGCCGCGUGAUUUAGAAGGCCUUCGGGUUGUAAAAAUCUUUUGUAUAGGAAGAAAAUGACAGUACUAUACGAAUAAGGUCCGGCUAAUUACGUG
rnacentral:rRNA from 1 species